CCAUAGCCAGGGUGGCCCGCAAGGGAGGGCCUGGACACGGUAUGGCCGGUUAGUCACGUGUUUCGAAAAGAACACCGGCAGCC
rnacentral:sRNA from 12 species